CAGCCGUAAACUAUGCGCGUUAGGUGUAUCGGUGACCACGAGUUACCGAGGUGCCGAAGGGAAACCGUGAAACGUGCCGCCUGGGUAGUACGGUCGCAAGGCUGAAACUUAAAGGAAUUGGCGGGGGAGCACCACAACAGGUGGAGCCUGCGGUUUAAUUGGACUCAACGCCGGGAAGCUCACCGGAUAGGACAGCAGAAUGAUUGCCGGGCUGAAGACCCUGCAUGACUAGCUGAGAGGUGGUGCAUGGCGUCAGUGACU
rnacentral:rRNA from 1 species